UUCGACACUCCGUCAAAGACUCAAAAUACAACAAAACUUCUUCUCAUCCCUCUUGUCUCACUCUCAUCUUCUCUUCAUUCUCUUCUCUCCCAGAAAUCUCAACUAUCCUUCAACAUCGCGCUUCGGGAAUUUCUCUCUCUCCAGUCCUCAUUGUCCCUAAUUUCACUUCUUUCUCUGCAAAUCAACCCUAAAUCUUCCGUAUCUAACCCCUUAAUGGCUCUGACACCUUCUUCGACAACCUAGCCAUCGACUCCUGUUCUUGAAAGCCUACCCGUCACCAAACCCUAAGUCAACCCUAAAAGAAUCUCCAUCGGAGCACCCUGUCGAAGUCUUCGCUCGAAUCCAAGACUACCUAGAAGCUAAAGAAGAAGGCCUCCACGUUCCUCUUGGACCCAAUCGAAGCCUCUAGAGAGAGCCUCCUCACGGCUCAUUGAUUACUCAGUACGUCUCUCUUUUUCGAAAUGGAUUAAUUUGGUUGUUUGUUUUGACAGAGGAUAAUACACAUCAGGAGAUAGAGGAGGUUCAGAGACUAUUCAGAUCUGCAGCCAGGGAUUGCGUUGUAAAUUUAAGAUUCACAAAAGCCAAUGGGAUUGUGGUACCAGAAAAUGGUACCACAAAAGCCAAGUCUUCUCUGAGUGAGUCUGUCAACUCCAUUUCAGAUUCAUUUCAGCAGUCCACAUUCUUAGAGACCCAAUUCAGAAACAAUGGUGGAGAGCAAGACUGUGCACUCACCAUUGGUGACUUACGCUUCCAUGCUUUCACUGCUUACUUUUUGCCCUCCAUUUGUCAUUAUUAUGGUAUACAAUGGUACAUGCUGGUGGCUCUCUUUUCAAAACUUGGGAUUACUUGAAACAAAAUGGGCUGCAAAGUUUAUUGACAUAUGGCCAAGACCUACAGUUAUGGCAAAUUUUGAGGCUGCACUUCAGCUGCCUUUACCUGGAAAAAAGGUUGAAGGACCAAUAUCUCCGGCUGGGUAUCGGCCUGUCUACAAGGCAAAUGGUAUGGCAACAUAAUUUGUGACAUUACCAUGACCGGAGUUCAUUCGUUGCUUUUCAAGCCAAUAGCGGUGUUGUUAUCAGGUAUAUUGUUCAUAUCCCAAGUUUUUUCCCUACAAUUUCAAUUUCAAUUUCUAUAUGUUAGGGUUCUAUAUUAUCUUCUUUACAAAUUUAUAUGAUUUCUAAUUAUUUUAUAAUUGCUUUUUUAUCAACCAAUCAAUUGCCUGUGGCUCUUUUUAUUUCUAACUCUGAAGUAUAGUUUUUGAUGAUAAGAUUGGUUUAGUGUGCCUCUGACCGAACCCAGAAGGUAUGCUCUUCAUCUUUUUUCACAAGUGCACACUUUCUAAUGAUUGUGCGACCCUAUUUGCAAUGCAUGAUUGGUUCAUUUUGGGAAUUCAAUUGUACUAGACUACCAUAAUUGGUUGUCUUGUGUUUACUAUAAAGGAAUUCAACCCAUGCAGGUAUGAAUUAUACAAUGUUCCAUUUUGCUCAAAGUAUAUUCUAGUUUUUAAGUUAUUAUUGGUGGACCUUUUAUAUGCCUAUCUUCUUAAACUGUAUACUGCAAUCUCAUUGCAGGUCUGGUAGUUUCUGUUGUAGAUCCUCAGCAGGGUGAAAUCAUUAGUGAUUGUUGUGCUGCUCCUAGAGGAAAGACUCUUUACAUGGCGUCGCUUUUGAGUGGCCAAGGUAUGGUAUAUGCAAUUGACAUAAACGAAGGGUGGUUGAGAAUCCUCAAAGAAAUGGCUAAGUUGCACCAAGUAGAUGGUGUCAUCACCACUAUCCAUGCUGAUAUACAUAGUUAUACUGACAAUAAUACUAUGAAGUGUGAUAAAGUUCUGUUGGAUGCUCCAUGUUUUGGACUGGGUGUUCUCUCCAAGACUUGCGUUGGAACAGGAGAUUAGAGGAUAUGGAGGAGCUUAAUUAAGAAUUUGCAGGAUGAGCUCCUUCAUGCAGCUUCUCGGUAGCUGAGAGCUUGGAGCUAGUGGGAAGAAACUUAAUUGUAGUUGAUAGAGUGUGAACAUUUGUUGCAUGAUAACUGAGAUCCUCAAGCUGGUAAGAAGGAGAGACUCAUUCUGGAUUCUGCAAAAGAGGGGGAAAUAUUGAUCCUAUGGGCGCACCAUUUUCUGCUUCUGCUGAUAUAUAAUAUUCACAUGCAGCAGCUGCUUAUGUUUUUUUCAAUAUUCAUAUUAGUUUUUGAUGGUUUAUGGAUAUUGAUAAUGGCAUGGCACUAGAAUGUUAUCUUGUUUUGGAAUAAUUUGUAUCAGUCUUGGAUAUCCCAAGUAGAUAGGUAUGUAUUAGACUACUUUUUUUCUUUUAAUCUUUUAA